rnacentral:rRNA from 1 species
GAUCAAGUGUCUUAAGGGCAAUUGGUGGAUGCCUUGGCAUGCACAGGCGAUGAAGGACGUGAUACGCUGCGAUAAGCUACGGGGAGGUGCGAAUACCCUUUGAUCCGUAGAUCUCCGAAUGGGGAAACCCACCUAAGGUACUUGGAAAAUCAGAGCAGCAGGGCAACUGACGCGGCAAUCCCAAAAGGAUUGAGCGUGGGGCGACGAUCUCUUUGGGAUCGCGCUGUUUUUGCUGCUGUGGUUUCCAAGUAUCGAUAAUAGGUAACUUAUCCUGAAUACAUAGGGAUAAAGUGGCGAACGCGGGGAACUGAAACAUCUAAGUACCCGUAGGAAAGGACAUCAACCGAGACUCCGGAAGUAGUGGCGAGCGAACCCGGACCAGGCCAGCGGCGAUUGAGAGACAAGCGGAACCUUCUGGAAAGUUGGGCCAUAGCGGGUGACAGCCCCGUACGCGUAAUGCGAUCAAUCGUCCUUGAGUAAGGCGGGACACGUGAAAUCCUGUCUGAAAUUGGGAGGACCACCUUCCAAGCCUAAGUACUCGUGCAUGACCGAUAGCGAACUAGUAC